GGUCGGAUGGCGCAAUGGUGUAAGUUCAAUCUUCCGUCUAAACGCCAAUUUUUCAAGUUCUAACAGCCUUUAGAGCGCGCGGCCCUCCUACACGUUUGCGAGGCCGAAGUUGCGGGUUCGAGUCCCGUUCCGAUCG
rnacentral:tRNA from 1 species